rnacentral:rRNA from 1 species
UACGGAGGGUGCAAGCGUUACUCGGAAUCACUGGGCGUAAAGGGCGCGUAGGCGGCCUAGCAAGUCUGGUGUGAAAGCCCAGGGCUCAACCCUGGAAGGGCACUGGAAACUGUUAGGCUUGAGUUCCGGAGAGGAGGGGGGAAUUCCCGGUGUUGCGGUGAACUGCGUAGAUAUCGGGAGGAAUACCGGUGGCGAAGGCGCCCCACUGGACGGAAACUGACGCUGAGGCGCGAAAGCGGGGGGAGCAAACACG